rnacentral:rRNA from 1 species
GACGUAGGGCGCGAGCGUUGUCCGGAUUUAUUGGGCGUAAAGAGCUCGUAGGCGGCUUGUCGCGUCGACUGUGAAAUCCCGCGGCUCAACUGCGGGUCUGCAGCCGAUACGGGCAGGCUAGAGUUCGGUAGGGGAGACUGGAAUUCCUGGUGUAGCGGUGAAAUGCGCAGAUAUCAGGAGGAACACCGGUGGCGAAGGCGGGUCCCUGGAAAACUCCUGACACUGAGGCACGAAAGCUAGGGGAGCAAACAGG